GGGGCUGACAUAUGCUUCGACGAGAGGACUUUAACAGGAUAUUCUGCACGUCGUUUUACACCCGUUAGGUGUUUAUUUAAUUGCAAACAUUGUUGCAAAAGUAAAAGCAGGUUUUGCUCAGUUGGCUAGCGCCUUCCGUGCUCCUGUUUUUGCGCCAGCUCUAGUUUAAUUACUAUAGCCAUCGAUCUUCCUAAGGCAGCGUAGGGGAGUCGGUGUUAUAUGUACGCUGAUUACAUGCUAUUUGGGCAGCUGCGAAUAGUUUGGACAUUUUCCAGCGCGACGCACUUUGCUAUUUUUGUCGUAUCUUUAGGCAAGGUCUGUCGUUAACAAUGCAAAUACGACUAUGCGUGUAGACGAAUAUCAGGUUACCUUUUGGACCCGGGGGCAGUACCCGGCAGCUCCACCA
rnacentral:tmRNA from 2 species